GACGAACGCUGGCGGCGUGCUUAACACAUGCAAGUCGAACGGAAAGGCCCUGCUUUUGUGGGGUGCUCGAGUGGCGAACGGGUGAGUAACACGUGAGUAACCUGCCCUUGACUUUGGGAUAACUUCAGGAAACUGGGGCUAAUACCGCAUAGGAGCUCCUGCUGCAUGGUGGGGGUUGGAAAGUUUCGGCGGUUGGGGAUGGACUCGCGGCUUAUCAGCUUGUUGGUGGGGUAGUGGCUUACCAAGGCUUUGACGGGUAGCCGGCCUGAGAGGGUGACCGGCCACAUUGGGACUGAGAUACGGCCCAGACUCCUACGGGAGGCAGCAGUGGGGAAUAUUGCACAAUGGGCGGAAGCCUGAUGCAGCAACGCCGCGUGCGGGAUGACGGCCUUCGGGUUGUAAACCGCUUUCGCCUGUGACGAAGCGUGAGUGACGGUAAUGGGUAAAGAAGCACCGGCUAACUACGUG
rnacentral:rRNA from 1 species